UGACGCUGGCGGCAGGCUUAACACAUGCAAGUCGAGCGGGGAAAAGUAGCUUGGCUACUUAACUUAGCGGCGGACGGGUGAGUAAUACUUAGGAAUCUGCCUAUUAGUGGGGGACAACAUUUCGAAAGGAAUGCUAAUACCGCAUACGUCCUACGGGAGAAAGCAGGGGAUCACUUGUGACCUUGCGCUAAUAGAUGAGCCUAAGUCGGAUUAGCUAGUUGGUGGGGUAAAGGCCUACCAAGGCGACGAUCUGUAGCGGGUCUGAGAGGAUGAUCCGCCACACUGGGACUGAGACACGGCCCAGACUCCUACGGGAGGCAGCAGUGGGGAAUAUUGGACAAUGGGGGGAACCCUGAUCCAGCCAUGCCGCGUGUGUGAAGAAGGCCUUUUGGUUGUAAAGCACUUUAAGCGAGGAGGAGGCUACUCUAGUUAAUACCUAGAGAUAGUGGACGUUACUCGCAGAAUAAGCACCGGCUAACUCUGUG
rnacentral:rRNA from 1 species